ACUUACUACAAGAGCACAAACUAAAACUGGAACAAUACAGAGGUCGUCAGCAUGGCACUUAGGCAAGAAUGACAUACAAAUUUGUGAAGUGUUCUGUAUUUUU